CAGUUAAGUUCAGAAGAUGAAAUCGGCUGAGCUCCAACUCUGGACACUGCAUAUGAUACUGGAAGUCUUGUAGUAGAGUAGAGGUGAGUGGAAUUCUGUAGCAGUGAGGUGAAAUUAGUAUCAUAUUGGGAGGAACACCAGUGAGGAAGGCGCCUCACUGGACCAUUACUGUGAGGGAGGUGAGAGUGGGGUGGGGAGCAAACAGGAUUAGAUACCUAGUGUAGUCCACUCCGUAAACGAUGAAUGUUAUUGGUGGGGAUUGUUUACAGUUGUAUUGGAAGCAGCUAACGCAUUAAACAUUCCCUGGGGGGAGUACGGUCACAAGAUUAAAACUCAAAGGAAUUGGGGGGGGCCCGCACAAGGGGGGGAGCAUGGGGUUUAAUUAGAAGCAACGAACAGACCCUUACCACCCCUUGACAUACCGGUUUUCCACACAGAGAUGUUUCUUUCAGUUAACUUGAACACGAUACAGGCAUGGCAUGGCUCAGUCAGUGUCGUGAGAGAGAUGUUGGGUUAAGUCAACGAGCGAGCGCAACCCUUUAGUUUACAGCCAUCAUUUAGUUGGGCACUAAAAAGGGACUGCCAGCAUACCGGAGAGGAAGGGGGGGAUGACGUCAAGUCCUCAUGCCCCUUACGGGGGGGGCCACACACGUGACACAAUGGGGGACACAGGGGGCAACAAGCACGCGAGUAAGACAUAAUCUCCAAAAGCCAUUCCAUUUGGGAUUGCAUUUUGCAAUUGGAUUGCAUGAAUUGGAAUCGCUAGUAAUCGCGGAUCAGCAUGCCGCGGUGAAUACGUUCCCGGGCCUUGUUACCAACCAACCCCG
rnacentral:rRNA from 1 species